rnacentral:tRNA from 1 species
AUUUAUUUAAUAUAUUUAGUAUAUUUAACUUCCAAUUAAAAAGACUGAUUUUCAGAGUAAAUA